GAGGGUGUAGCUUAGUGGUAGAAUGCUUGCUUAGCAUGCAUGAGGUCCUGGGUUCAAUCCCCACUACCUCCA
rnacentral:tRNA from 1 species